GUUAAGAAUCUGCAUACUUUCUCCACUACUGGAUAUAAAAUGUUGUCUAAUGUUACUGGAUGCUCUCUUGUGUUGAAUGUAUUAUUUCCUACACAAGAGGGCAGCAGAUCUCUGUUCCAUAACUUGUAACGAAAACUGGUUCCACUUCUGUGUGCAGUGAUGUUGUUGCUUUUUUUUGCUUUGACUGCAGUCCCGAGGACUUGAUUUCAUUCUCUGUUCAGUAUCCCUAAUUAUAUUACAUCUUGCGGAUGCAAGUCUGCUGGUCGUCUGCUGUUUAAAUUAGAGAUUUAGAUUUACAAAGAGGGCCUUCUCUUGUAAAAAAAAAAAGAUUUUUGUGACAAACAUGUGAUAGCAUGUGCAUGUCCUGUUAGAGCUGUGGUACGUCUGAUGGUUAAAAAAAAGAAGUAUUUUGUGUGUCCAUUGUUUUUCAGAGUUUUUCACUCAUCAAUAAACAUGGUGUUUCAUGUUGAUUCUCACAGAAAAUGUGUGCUAUCUUGUAAAGUUGGUUAUUGAAUGUGAUGCUCAUCUGUUUGCACUCUUUUAUCCCCUCAUUUCUCCAUUCUUUCCAGUUUCUUCCCAAACAAACAUCAUGUCAUGUUCAUCCUGACUGACCAGCUGUUCUCCAUAUUGGCUUUCUUAUGUUCCUUGCAAACAGGCUCGGCCACGCUUCAAAAGGAAUGAUUUAUGCUCUUAAAUUAAUGAAUGAAAAGCCAUAUCUUUCCUGUUUCCAGAUUUGGUCUGUUUAGAGCUGUAAGUAGACUGUGAUGUGUUAUUUCAGCCUGACACAAUCUAGUUUUAACUACAAAAACGAUAACUAUUAUGAUGAUUUUGUUUUGCUGUAACCAAACAUCUAAGCCCACUUGUUUACAAAGAUGGUUAGUGUAAAACAUAUUAUAACUUAAACUCUAUUUUAUGCCUUUAUUUGUCCAGGCAAUUGAAAUGUAGAUUUGCUUUAUUUCAGACACACCCUGCUACACAUUUAAACAGGAGCAGAUUGGUACAACCACAGAUGUCCUCUGUUGGCCACCGACCAACUUCACUCCAGUGGUUGGGGCUUGAGUGCCUUCCUCCACUGCACAUCAACGGAAUUCAUAGGGAGAAGCCAUCAAGUUUUGAUGCUUGUAUUUGUAGCUUGGUGACCCCUUCCUGUGGCAGCUCCAAGCAGGGAGAGCUCAGGGCAUCUAGAGGCUGCAGUUUUUUUUGUAUGUAUCCAGAGCUCCCUCAGAAGAUAUUUAUACAUUGAUAAGCGUUUCAGAGAUGGCAGAGAUUAUGGGAGGAUAACACUGCACAACAUGGCCGCCCCAAACCAGAUCAAAGCAAAGACAAUCAAAGCCAGAGUGAAAGCUACAGCAACAGCUACUGGUUUCAGUCCAUUUCUGUAUGGUAUGAAAAUCAACAUCAGAGACUUGCUUGAAAAAGAGGGCUUGAGGCAGCUGAAGGACUACUGACAAUAUAACAGAAAUCCCAGAUCCAUCCUGAAGUGGUAAUUGACUGAGCUACAGAUACAAAGCUGCCGAGAGCCUUUUACAUAAAAAACCGAGGCUUUGAUGUCCCCUGAUGAAUUGUGCUGCAAUAACUGUGUCACAACAGAAGACAUAACAUCGACUCACUGCAGGAAAUACAUGUCCAGUACAUCCAGGACAGAUUCUUCUUUCCCCCGUCUGGAAACAAGCCCUGUCAUCCCCAUUUCUCCUGGAUGCCUUCAAGGUCUCAACGAUAUCUCACACGCCCCAGUCCAAAAUCUGAAUUAUGUUUAUUACAAUUCAACGUGGUUAGUGAUGCUUCUAAAAUCAAUACUUAAAAGGCUUGGUCAGAGAAAUGAAACUGAAAUAACCAUUGCAUCUGCCCGACAUGAAAGAUUGACAUGCAGCAGUUGGAGUCUGCGGUUUGAGGGACUGCUUCCUCUUUUGCGUGAGGUGAUCACAGACAGCUCUGGGUUUGGGCUUUAGGGGCUUUGUGAGGUUGUUAAAAAUGUUCCUGUUCACUUUUCCAGCUGCAGCAUUUCAACGGUGCAUUAAACUACAGAUACCCCCAGAAAAGUCACCAGGGAAAACAAGAAAUGCUGUUUGAAAAUCAUGGGAGGGUCAGGAACAAUCCUUUGGAUUAUUCAGUCUUUUCUUUUUUUUAUAUGUGCAAAGAGAAAAACAGAUAUACAGUACUUCUAAGAGCCAUUUUAGUUAGGAAAAAGUUUAUUUUAAACCCCUAAGUCAUCAAGAAAGCAGGCGUGCACUUUGACACUUUGAGCUAUGAGGAAAUUGUUACAUGUUUAUUAAUGUACAGUAUUUGUCAGCGAUUGAAAUCUCUUAUAAAGCCAUCUUGUAUACUAUUACAACUGUUUCUUACUAUUAUAGUCAAUAAUGAACACUAGCAUCAAGUAUAGUGUGUUUUAAACCAUUAAUUACUCAUCAAGUACAGCUAAAAGUGUUAGCAUGCUAACAUUUGCUAAUAAACUUGUUUUGCAAUGGACUAAUAAGCGCUAAACACAAAGUAUAAUGCUAGCAGCAAAGACUUAUUGAAGAUGAUUGUUGUGAAUAAUGCUACAUUCCAUUCUGUGAGAAGUUUGAAGAAAGUUGUUCUCAUCCAUUUUAUGUAUUCUAGAGUGCAACACUGUUUAUAUGUAUGUGUAAACAGACCUUGAGACAAUCCUUCCUCCCAUCCUGACUCUCUUAUCUCACUACACUUCAACUAAAUGAAUGAAGCGAUUGUUAGAGAAUAUUUAUAUUCUUGUGUGUCUCAAUAAACCUUUAGAACAUUGUGAACUGAA